ACAUCAUAGUUUACCUUUUUGACGAAUCAAUUUGUGAAGAAAAACAAACUAACCAGGAGUUUUCUUUAUUUUGUUUACCAUAUUGUGAUUGUUUUAAUCUACCUAAGGGAACAUUAAAAAACAAAUAAUCAUAAAAAGACCCCCUCCCCGGUGGCAUAUAUGCGUUGCGUCAUCCUUGAAUUCCUAUUGGUGGAUGGGCGAAGAUGAAUCGCGAGAGGAGUCGAGGCAAGUGACAGUUAAUUUUUCAAACUGAGGAGUCCGCCAUUUCUGCUCGUUCAUACCCUAAGGUAAGUUAAGUUUUUACAUUUUUGAAAUGAUUUUACCGAAAUAUUUUGUAUUACAGUUAAUAUUUAUAUUUGUUAGAAUAGCCCUUGUGUUAAACACUGAUACUAGAAGCAAAUUUGACCUCAAAAACACUGGCGUGAAGCACUGAAGGGCUUCGUCAGCCAUCGGUUCUAGCCCUGUUAAAUUAAUUUUGCUCCGGUUUUUAAUUUAAUUAAGAUACAGUCUUCCUUUAUUUCCUUGUUAAUGUUAAUGGAAUUGUUAACUACAGUAAGAUAGCUGUGUUAUAAGGAGACGAGCUUCGAGUCAGAAGCGUGAAUUUUAACGUUCAUUUCAAUGAAGCGAGCGCUCGUUGUUCAAAUAAACGGCUCCGAUUCAAAUAAAAGUCAGCCGGGUGGAAGACGGAGGUGAAUGAUUAUGUGAAAGUGUGUCGCAGUUUCACAUAUAGGCCUACUCAUUUUGCGGUGAGUAUUUUCCCCAGGCCUAUGUUAACAGGUGUAACGUUAGAAGUUCUUAACUUUGGCCGGCAAGAUACUUUCGUGCCGUUUUUUAACUCCAACCCAGACCAAACGAGGAUCUUGAUUAGCUUGUUCAGGUGUGUUUUAUCAGGGUUGGAGCUAAACUCAGCAGAAAAGUGGACACUGCUACAGUUCAAAACUUCCGGCCGGUCUGUCGCUAUUAAAACUGUUUAAAGACACAGUUGCGGUGCAGCGGUUUUUUUAUGUUUACUGUGACGCAUGCGCUGGAUUAAAGUGAUGAUAGCACAAGGUUACAUUUUAGUAAUCAAAUAUUCUAAAGCCAAAAAUGUUACGUGUGUGUUUAACGUUAGGUGUGUUUAAUGCAUAGUUGGUUUACGAAGUGUUAUUUAUGCUUUGUUUUUUUUUAAUCCCCAGAUAACCAUGGUUGAUAAAUGGUCAGUAGAUGACACGUGCCACUGGCUUGAAACUAUAAACCUCAUUGAUGCAAAAGAAAGUUUCAGAGAUUCUGCAUGAAAUGACAAUGAGGUUUAAACCGACUUGGCGAAGAACAUGGAAACAUCUCUGAAUGAAAUGGCCCCAAACAUCAUCAGGAGUGUAAAAGAAGGAAGUCAAAAAAAAAACAAAAAAAUUACGCCAAUUUCAUUGGACUAGCAGAGGAAACCACAGAAGGUCUCGUUAGGAAUGCUGCACUCAUUUUAUUGCCAGCACUAUUUAAAGAAAACGCCAGCUUCCUCUACUGUGUAGAUAGUGAACCCAAAGGUGCUACACCAACCAUAGUGUUUAACGGCUCUCCUGAUCCCCUCAAGGCUGAAAGUGUCAGCAUUAUAAUGGACAAUGUGAACAUCAUAAGAGAGGCAGACAUUGACAUGACACAGGCUGUGGAAUGCCUAUUUGCAGUCUAUUUUCUCUUCAAUGUGCAGUACCCGGUUGACAUUAAGCACACAAUGACUUUUAUUUAAAAAUAUAUGCUUAACCUUAGACAACAGCACGGCAAAAGAACACCAAUACCUGUACUGAAAAUGUAUAGUCAACUUGUGUAAAUUGUAGAGCUAUUUAAUAGUUGUUUUAACUGUUCAUGUAUUGAUUUUUAUCUGCACUGUUAAAUAUAAAAAAGAUUUGUUUUU